rnacentral:rRNA from 1 species
AGAAUCAACGCUGGCGGCGUGCCUAACACAUGCAAGUCGAACGAGAAAGUGGAGCAAUCCAUGAGUAAAGUGGCGCACGGGUGAGUAACACGUGACUAACCUACCCUCGAGUGGGGAAUAACUUCGGGAAACCGAGGCUAAUACCGCAUAAAACCUAAGGGUCGAAGGAGCAAUCCGUUUGAGGAGGGGGUCGCGGCAGAUUAGUUAGUUGGCGGGGUAAUGGCCCACCAAGACGAUGAUCUGUA